GAAUAUAUAAAAAGCUAAUUAAAUACUUAUAAUCUUUAACUUUAGUUAAUAUAUACUAUUAAUUUAUGUUUA
rnacentral:tRNA from 1 species